rnacentral:lncRNA from 1 species
AUUUUGACGAACACACUUUUUUAAAAAAAUAUUAGCCGGGUUCCCCAAUGUUAUGACUUCAUGACUUGUGAUAUUGCUUGUGAUUCAUUUAUUUACUAACAAUGCAUUGUUUUUACUAUAGGUACUGUAAAUAUUUAAACACUUUUACAUUGUUAUGCAUUUAAAAUGUGAAUGUUGUUGUAUAUUUAAAAUUCAUACUUAUAAAAAAAAAUGUAUCAAAAGAAUGAUUAGAACUUAAUAAUUACUUAAGUAAAUAAAACAUUUUUCAUUCCAAAAGACAAAUAAUCUAGAAAGAAGGAGAAAAUAACAGAAUGAAUAGAAAACAAACAAAUCAAAAAUUUCAAAUUGGAAGGAAGCAUAAAUGGCAAAAGGUGAAAAUGAGGAAAGAAGAGGUAAAAAUGAUAAAUAAAUAAUAUUAUAUAGAUAGAAUAUAAGUUGCAACUGUUUUUGGAAAAGGAGUAGAUAGGUAGUAAUGUAGCCGUGAACAAAAGUAUAAAUAAAUAAUAAACUUGUA